CAGCAGCCGCGGUAAUACGGAGGGUGCAAGCGUUAAUCGGAAUUACUGGGCGUAAAGCGCACGCAGGCGGUCUGUCAAGUCGGAUGUGAAAUCCCCGGGCUCAACCUGGGAACUGCAUCCGAAACUGGCAGGCUAGAGUCUUGUAGAGGGGGGUAGAAUUCCAGGUGUAGCGGUGAAAUGCGUAGAGAUCUGGAGGAAUACCGGUGGCGAAGGCGGCCCCCUGGACAAAGACUGACGCUCAGGUGCGAAAGCGUGGGGAGCAAACAGGAUUAGAGACCCCUGUAGUCCCUGUCUCUUAUAC
rnacentral:rRNA from 1 species